AAACAAGUCACCAGGCCCUUCAGAACAUGCCCAAAGUGCUCCGUGAUGUUGAAGCUCUUAAACAGGAGGCAUCUUUUCUAAAAGAACAAAUGAUUCUUGUCAAGGAAGACAUUAAAAAAUUUGAACAGGACACAUCGCAGUCGAUGCAGGUAUUUCGGCUCCUGCCCUAUGUGGGGAUUCUGG
rnacentral:lncRNA from 1 species